CCCUACGGGGUGCAGCAGCUAGGAAUAUUCUACAAUGCGCGAAAGCGUGAUAGAUUGAGUCAGAGUGCUUUUCUUUUUGAAAAGCUUUUGUGAAAUGUAAAAAGUUUCGCGAAUAAGGACUGGGUAAGACUAGUGCCAGCCGCCGCGGUAAUACUAGCGGUCCAAGUCGCAGCCAUUUUUAUUGGGUCUAAAACAUCCGUAGCUUGUCUGGUAAGUUUCUUGUGAAAUUUUAUAUCUCAAAUAUGAAGCGUGCAAGAAGUACUGCCAAACUAGAGACUGGAAGACGUGAGAAGUACGUUCGAAGUAGCGGUAAAAUGUGUUAAUCUCGAGCGGACUCACAAUAGCGAAGGCAUCUCACGAGGACAGUUCUGACAGUAAGGGAUGAAGGCUAGGGGCGCAAAACGGAUUAGAUACCCGUGUAGUCCUAGCAGUAAACACUGUACACUAAACAUCAGUACCUCCUCGAGAGGUAUUGGUGCUGAAGGGAAGCCGAAGAGUGUACUACCUGGGAAGUAUAGUCGCAAGGCCGAAACUUAAAGGAAUUGACAAGGGAGCAC
rnacentral:rRNA from 1 species